rnacentral:rRNA from 1 species
AGGCCGGGGAAGCCGAUGGCAAAGCGGUUAAAUAUUCCGCUACCGAAGCCAGCGUAUGGCUAAGGCGUGACGCAGAAGUGACACUCCCGCGUGCUGACGAAUGCACGUUAAAGGGCGUAGGCCGGGGGGCAGGCAAAUCCGCCUCCCGUUAAGGCUGAACCCCGACAGUACUCGGAUUCUCACGAUGAAGAGAUAGUGGAGGUAAUCAUGCUGCCAAGAAAAGCGUCGUAGUUUGCUGGUUCUCGCUCGUACCCCAAACCGACACAGGUGGGUGAGGAGAGUAUCCUCAGGUGCUCGAGUAAUUCAUGGCUAAGGAACUAGGCAAAUUCGAUCCGUAACUUCGGGAGAAGGAUCCCCUGACUAUGUCAGGGCGCAGUGAAAAGGCCCAAGCGACUGUUUACCAAAAACACAUGUCUCUGCUAAGCCGCAAGGCGAUGUAUAGGGACUGACACCUGCCCGGUGCUGGAAG